rnacentral:misc_RNA from 1 species
UUGCACUCCAGUGGUUUGAUUAAGGUAUGUUUUUAUUCUGUCCCUCAUCUAUCCUGUUGGUUGUGAGCUAUUAAUAAAGAUGCAAAAGCUCCAUCAGGCUAGUUCUUUGAAAUUUAAGAUUGCUUUUUGAAAAUGUAAGUUGAUAAUCAGCAUCUCUAUAUUGCAUCCUAAGAUUGGCAGUUGGAGUUGUUGUAUAUAUAUGAGUAUUUCACAAAGCUUUUGUCUGAGCCUGGCUCACACACACAAUAUUGGGCCAAAAAUCCAAAUCAAGUGUAAAUUGGUGGAUUCCUCCCUGCACGCAAGAUAUAGUCCAAUACAAAACAAAUUUUUAUUAUUCAUUAUAAUUAAAAUUUUGUGCUUACUGGAAAUUGGUUGUAUUAUUAUUAUUAUUUUCUAAAUUUUAUACACAGGGUUCUAUUGGUUGUUGCAGAUUUUAUUAACGUUAAGAUGGCUUACCAUGAUCUAAUCCUCAUCUUCCUCAAGCCUAAUGUUACAAUUUUGCGCUAUUUAUAUGUUGUAGUUUUACUUAUCCAAUAUAUGCUUUUCUGCUCUUCCAUUGCUGGGUUUAUUCAAAAUUACUUCUAGCUGUUCCGCGCCCUGGGAUUCCAAUCCAAAAGGGCCUGUUGAAAUUCCCAAAGGGACUGUUAAAUCCUGGGGGAUUUUCACAUUGCUGAAGUAACUGUUGUUGUCGAAAUCCUUUAAGGAUAGUGUUCGUAAACACGACUCAAGCUUUAAUUUUCGUUUCCUCCUUCCUUGUAUUGUUCAAUUUCAAUAAUAAUCUUAAGGAUUAUUAUUGAGCAUGCUGCUGCAAUCAACAAUUCUACUUUAGCUGCUGCCAUUCAGAAUUCUUCUGCUAUAAAUUUUUUUGGCCACUCCAUUGUUGCUCCCCUUCAUGGCAUGACGUCGCUUUUGUUCCAAUCUAUUCACCAUUGCAUAUGCCUAGCCGUUUUCUAAUUUCUCUAAAAUUGAGGUAUUUGCAAGACAAAAUUUUAAGAGGUGGCUAGAAUGUAUCUCUCUCUUUUGUUCUUAACAUGCACCUUGUAGUUGCUACCCUUACAAACCCUAAACCAACAUUGUCUGCAGAUCCAAAACUGCUUAAAAUCUGGGCUUAUGCUAACAAGGUAUGUAGGCAUACAAUCAUUAGCACCUUAUCUAAUCACUUGUUUGAUGUCUACUACUCCUAUAAAGCCGCCUAGAAAAUAUGUGAUAUAGGGAAUCUGAAGUACACUGCUAAGGAUGCUGGAAAAAAAAAAAAUUUGUUAUUGGCAACUAUUACAGGUGGGAGAUGACAAAUGACAAUGAUAUCAUGAUGCAAAUUAAUGGAUACUGCAAACUAUUGGAAGAGCUUAGGGUUGAAAACAUCACUUUGCAAGAUGAGUUUAUUGCCCAUUGUUGAUGGAAAAGUUACUAGAAUCUUGGAAGGAUUACAAGCAAUAUCUCAGACACAAGCAUAAGAAAUUAUUACUUGCAGAUUUGAUCAUCCACAUCAUAAUUGAGGACACUGAGAAAAAAGAACUUAAAAGCUGCAAAAGCAAAUGAGAUGGCUUCAAAGGCACACCUAGUGCAAGAUAAGUCUCACAAAGGGAGAUAUGAAAACAAGAAACCUGAUCACAUUCCUAAAGCUACUUACACCACCUUCAAAAAGAAGGGAAGUUGCUAUGUUUAUGGAAAGUCAAGACAUCAUACUCUUCAAUGCAAGAAAAGGGCAAGGAAUGACAAUUCUCCUAAACCAAAAGUAAAUUUGGUUGAAGGAGAUGAUAUUAUUGUUGUUGUCAUUUCUCAAGCUUACCUUGUGGUCAAUGUGAAAGAAUGGGUGGUAGACUUUGGUGCUAACUAGCAUAUCUAUACAAACAGAAAUGCUUUUUCCUUCCACACUCUUUUUGGGGGUAGGAGAAGAACAUGUAUACCUCAUUGAUUCUUGAAUUGCUAUUGUUCUUCUUAAACCAUAUCUUGCAAGACCUUCGCUCUCAACCAAGUGCUUCAUGCAUCUAAUAUGAGAGCAAAUUUAGGGCCUAUUUGGUUUAGCUAUUGGAUGCAACUAUUGACUGAUAGCUGUUGUUGCUAGUUGAUAGUUGAUAACUGAUUGUAGCUGUUUUGUGUUAAAUGUUUGGUAAAACUAUAUUUAAUUGUUGCUGUUAAUAUGUAAAAUGAUUAAUAAGAGUAUAUAUUAUAUAAUUUAUUUUAUUAUUGAAAUAAAUAUAAAAUU